CGACUUCCCAGCAGCCCCCGCGCCGUUUCCGUGGCGACGGUGUCAAACAACCACGCCCUCCGAGGCAUGGAGCUUUAAGCAUGGCCGGGCGUCGCGGGUCCCGGACCAGGAAAGGAGUUGUAUAGCUGCUUUUAGACAUGAUCUGUGGAUUUUCCAUAUUUCUGGCAUCAAUAAACACUUCCUGCCUGACUCUUUGACCAUUAACCGGGAGGCCUGGCUGUUUCUGGGAAAGAACAAGUGAGUUUUACCUUGGAGCAAUGCUGAAAUUUGAAGAGACCGCUAAGUGCCUGAGUGGUUCUACAGCCAUUUCCAAGUAUCCAACUACCUUGAUUGCAAGAAGAUAUGUUCUUCAACAGAAACUUGGCAGUGGAAGUUUUGGAACUGUCUAUCUGGUGUCAGACAAGAAAGCCAAACAGGGAGAGGAACUAAAGGUACUCAAGGAAAUCUGUGUUGGAGAAUUAAAUCCGAAUGAAACUGUUCAGGCCAAUGUGGAAGCCCAGCUCCUUUCCAAGCUAAAUCAUCCAGCCAUUGUCAAGUUCCAUGCAAGCUUCGUGGAGCAGAACAAUUUUUGCAUUAUCACAGAAUACUGUGAGGGCCGAGAUCUGGACUAUAAAAUUCAGGAAUAUAAAGAAGUCGGGAAAAUCUUUCCUGAAAACCAGAUAGUAGAAUGGUUUAUCCAGUUGUUGCUUGGAGUUGAUUAUAUGCAUGAGAGGAGGAUACUCCAUCGCGACUUGAAAUCAAAGAAUAUAUUUCUGAAAAAUAAUCAACUUAAAAUCGGGGAUUUUGGAGUUUCUCGACUGCUGAUGGGAUCAUGUGAGCUGGCUACAACUUUGACUGGGACUCCCUAUUACAUGAGUCCUGAGGCCCUGAAGCACCAAGGCUAUGACGCCAAGUCUGACAUCUGGUCGCUGGCAUGCAUUUUAUAUGAGAUGUGUUGCAUGGAUCAUGCAUUUGCUGGUUCCAGUUUCUUGUCUGUAGUUUUCAAUAUUGUUGAAGGCGACACACCUUCACUCCCCGAGAGAUACCCACGAGAACUAAACACCGUCAUGGAAUGCAUGUUGAACAAGAGUCCUUCACUGAGACCAUCUGCUGUAGAAGUUUUAAAAGUCCCUUACAUCGACGAGCAGCUUCAGCACCUGAUGUGUAAAUAUUCAGAAAUGACGCUGGAAGACAAGAACUCAGUUUGUCAGAAGGAUGCUGUUCAUAUAAUUAAUGCCAUAAAGAUUGUGGAAGAAAAAUAUAAAGAAAAUAACAAAUGGAUGCAGGAAUCGAGAUUCCAGGAUUUUGAACAUCCAAGCGUCAAUGUGCUCCAUGAAUUAGAUGAACGGACUUCAGAGAACCUGCCUGAGCCUCGUUCCCUUCCUUCCCUGGACCUCAAUGAAGUUGAGCCAAGUUUAGACGACACCAUAGUUGGCCUUGGACAUUAUGGGAUCCCAGAAGACCCACUUGUUGCUGAAGAGUAUUAUGCUGAUGUAUUUGAUUCCUGUUCUGAGGAGAGUGAGGAGCAGGAGGAAGAAAUAGUGUUCUCAGAAGCAGAGCGAGAAAUGAGGGACAGAGGAGUCCCACCUGCUUACAGAGCAAACCAACAGGACAGUGAUAUUGAAGCCCUGGUUGGGUGUUUGGAAAACGUCCUGGGUUGUACCUCUCAAGACACAAGGACCAUUACCAGUGUGGCUGUGGACAUGUCCCCCAGACCAUCCAUUUUCAACAGUGUGAUGGCCAGGACCAAGAUGAAGCACGUGAAGGAAUCAGGAUGUAAAGUUCUCAUUACUGCUCAGCACCAUGCCUGUCUGCUUCCUACCAUGAUGAUCAUGAACUAACCUUCUGAAACGGUAAGCUAUCCCCCAGUUAAAUGCUUCCUUUACAAAAGUUCCCCUGGUCAUGGUGUCUCAUCACAGCAAUAGAAUAGUGACUAAGACAAGGACCACACAGGCCUGGGCAAUUUCCUAGCGAUGUUUCAAGGAAGUCCUUCCUGGUGAUAUGUGGAUAUGGAGGGGCUCAAAGAGCAAGGAGGCAGAGGAAGUUGCCCCCAUAGUUCCUAUGGGAGAGGGUGGUGACCUGGACCAGGGAGAGGGCAGUGGAAAUGGACAAAAUUGUAUGUAUGGAGGGAGGUCGUGGAGCUGGUGUUGGCAGGAUCUACUAAUCACUGUGGGAAGAGACCAGUGAGUAAGGUAGAGGCUUCUCAGGUUUUGUACUUUUAGGCAUUUGUGUUAUGUAUAGAUGAAGACUUCUGGGUAAGUCUCAUCAACAUUGUUGAUAUAAUUGAGUAGCACUGGCUGGACUAUUUAUUAGUAACUUUUCUCUUGCAGUGAUAAAUAUCAUGACCAAGAGUAACUAGCUUACAGAAGGAGGAAUCUAUUUGGGCUUCCAUAAUGUGAGGAAGGCAUAGCCACACGCUGCUGGAGCAGGAAGCUGGCUGGUCACAUCUUAUCACACAGGAAACCAAGGGAAUGAACUAGAAAGGGGACAAGGUAUAAACUCUCCCAGCCCUCCCUCAGUGACACAUGUCCUCCAGCAAGGCCUUACCUUAAAGGUUCCAUAACCUACCCAAGCAGCACCACCCACCGGGGGCCCCAUGUUGGAGCCUACAGGGACAAAUGGAAGCAUCCUUAUUUCUCUCCCUGUUCUGAAGUUUAAGAACAUGGCUCUGAUAUGUGCUUUGCAUCUGGUGGGUACAUUCUUACCUGUAAGGAUUCUGUCAUGUUCCAAAGUGGUACAAAGCAUGUCAGGGAGAGACAGAGAAACCAUGUCAGGGAGAGUCUUCUCAGAACAACACCACUUGACAAAGAGCUCAUUAAUCUAUUAGUCCAUGAGUAGAUUAAUCUCUCCUGAUUUAGGAGGACCUCCGAAAGUCCUGCCUGAUCCUCCUCCUCCUCCUCCUCCUCCUCCUCCUCCUCCUCCUACUUCUUCUUCUUCUUCUUCUUCUUCUUCUUCUCUCUCUCUCUCUCUCUCUCUCUCUCUCUCUCUCUCUCUCUCUCUCUCUCUCUCUCUCUUUGGUUUUUAUGAGACAGGCUCUCACUAUGUAGCCCUGACUGUCCUGAAAGUUGCUAUGAACACCAGGCUGGCCUCGAACUCACUGAUCUGUCUUCCUCUGCCUCCUAGCUGCUGGGAUAAAAUGUGAGUGCCACUGUGCCCAGUCUGAUCCUACUUCUCAAUACCUCACAUGAGGAUUCCUUUCAACAUGAAUUUUGUUGAAAGCAUUCAAAAUUUGACAUUGUGAUUUGACUGCAUAAAAAUUGCAUAAAACGUUUGUAAAGUUGGCUGAAAUUAUUUGUGAGGGUUUGUCCACUGACAGUUUGUGUUCUGGAGACUUAACCCUCACUAAGGCAGUUUUGAAAUAGCAGGACCCUUAAGAAGUGAAGCUGAGUGGGAAUAGUUAGGUUACUGGAAAUAUGAGGCAGAGAAAAGCAAGUCAGUUCAAAGGUCAUGCACAGGAGAGAUUAUAAGGAUGGACGAUAGAGUCACCAGUUCCUCGUCACUAAUAUGGGGACAGAGAGCAGUUAACUUUGUGAUGUAGCUUGGCAAUUGGAGACUUUGAUGACAUGGGCAGUUGAGCAUGGAGAGGGCAUAGUGGAAGGUGGGUUAAAGAGAGGAGUGUUUGGUUAUGGAGAACCAGGAAGAAGAUCUUAGAGAGUCCAGAUCCAUGUGAGGACACAGCAUGGCUGGCCAAAGCCCAGGGAAUUGCUGUAAAGGUGUUAGAUUCAGGGAUGGGGGGGGGGAGAAGGAAAGUGAGAAGCCAAGUGGAUAAGGAGGCCAGAAACUGACCCAUGUUGGCGAGGUAAUGUGAGCCAGCCAAUAUACUCAGUGACCAAAAGGAGGUACAAAGCCAGCCUGGCAGCAGAGGGCAAAGUGGCCACACCAAGACAUGCCCUCCCAGGGAUGGAUUCCAGCCGGGACCCAGCUUUUGACCUUUCAGAAGCAGCUCUGGUGCCCAUGCCUAGAAGCUUCAAUUGCUGUGUCUUCUUUCCCGAUCUAACCCAGAUCUAAGGGUGACAUGUCAUCUGGAAACUCUUGGGUGGCUAGUCAAAGGGAAGGUGUGUGUGUGUGUCCAUGUGUAUCCCUCCAGGACCCCAGCCUGUGCCAAAUGCAACUGCAUCUAGGUUGAUACCACAGGACCUCCAUCACUUCUGAGAAGGAGACUCAGAAACAGGAAGGAGUGAAGGAGCGCCGGGGACAUGAAAGAUACAGGGAGGCUCCUCCACCAACCAGUCCCUGGGCUGGAGGAAAUCUGCAUUCCAGACUCUUCCCCAAAGUCUGGCGUUCACCCUGGUCACUGGAGCAGAACCAGGGCCACCCAGACCCAACCUCAACCCUUCUUCAUGGACCACUGGCGAAGAGCUUGUCUUCCCCUCAGUGUGUCAAACUCCACAUGGGACUCAGCAAGUAUAAGCAGGAGCUAUAAAUGCAAGCGGGAAGGUCUAGUCGGGAAUGCUGUUCCAAGUCUCACAUUCUCCUCCCUCUAGGGCUUCUGAAGGCCCCAGCUGAUAGAUUUACAACAUCCCAGGCACCCAGCAAGAGUUGCAGGGUGUGGAUGGAGACAAAGGUCUACUGAACAGGAGAGAAAGGGAGCUGAAUGAUCUCGUGUUUGAGAGACAAGGAGUGCACCCCAAUUCCUAGAAACUCACUCCUGUGCAACCGCGCCAUUAAUUCUUGAUCAUGCAUGUGUACCACUUCCACCCACAAAACGUCCGAGGUGGGGGCAUCUGAUUAGCGGGUUCAUCAUCAGUCUCCAUUCUGGCCUGGAGGGACAGAGAGGGAAUAUCUGCUUGCUCUUAGCUUUUAUGAGAGACUUGGGCUAUUUGUAGCCUCUAUAAUAGACUUGUACUGGCUAGUUUAUGUCAAUGUGAUAAAAGGCAGAGUCAUCUGAGAGGAGGGAACCUGAAACCAGAAACUUCCUAGUAAGACUGGGCCGUAGGCAAGCCUGCAGAGCAUUUUCAAAUUACUGAUUGACGUGGGAGCACCCAGCACAUUGUGGGUGGUGCCAACCCUGGCCUGGUGGUUGUGAAUUCUAUAAGAAAGUCUUAGCAAGACACGAGGAGUGAGCCAGUAAGCAGCACCCCUCCAUGGCCUCUGCAUCAGCUCCUGCCUUCAAGUUCCCACCCAAUUGGAGUUCCUGCCUUGGUUUCCCUCAGGGCCUGUGAUUCAGGAUAUGUAAGCCAAAUAAACCAUUCCUCCCCAA